UGCGGGGUGGACUAAUAGUAGGUUAUCAGGCUCAUAACCUGGAGAUUCCGGUGCAAUUCCGGGCCCCGCGA
rnacentral:tRNA from 1 species